rnacentral:rRNA from 1 species
AAGGCAUCGAUCGGUAGGGGUUCUGAGAGGAAGGUCCCCCACACUGGAACUGAGACACGGUCCAGACUCCUACGGGAGGCAGCAGUGAGGAAUAUUGGUCAAUGGCCGUAAGGCUGAACCAGCCAAGUAGCGUGAGGGAAGACUGCCCUAUGGGUUGUAAACCUCUUUUAUGCGGGGAUAAAGGUGUCCACGUGUGGAUGUUUGCAGGUACCGCAUGAAUAAGGACCGGCUAAUUCCGUGCCAGCAGCCGCGGUAAUACGGAAGGUCCGGGCGUUAUCCGGAUUUAUUGGGUUUAAAGGGAGCGUAGGCCGGUCUUUAAGCGUGCCGUGAAAUUUUGUGGCUCAACCAUGAGAGUGCGGCGCGAACUGGAGACCUUGAGUGCGCGGAAGGCAGGCGGAAUUCGUGGUGUAGCGGUGAAAUGCUUAGAUAUCACGAAGAACCCCGAUUGCGAAGGCAGCCUGCCGCAGCGUUACUGACGCUGAAGCUCGAAAGCGCGGGUAUCGAACAGGAUUAGAUACCCUGGUAGUCCGCGCGGUAAACGAUGGAUGCCCGCUGUCGGCGAUACACAGUCG